AAAAUAUAUUAGACUUGUAAGUGAGUCAAGGGACGAUAUCAAAUAUGAUCAAGCGAUCAAUGUGACCUUAAUUUUUAAGGAAAAACAAGUCACAAUUCAUAAAUGAAAAAUUAAUUUUAUGUAUUAAGAAUUAUUUAUUUAUAUAUUCAUUGGGGUCUAUGUGAAUUCUCGUAUUUGUAUUAUCUUAUAAAUUUAAAGAAUUAUUAAUUUAGCACGUUGUUCCCAACUCGGAAACCGGGAAAAAUCAUUAUUUUAAUGAGAUUAUUAAUUAAUUGAGUAUUAAAUUAUCGAUGUUCUACUGUAUUUUUUUUUUCCAAGGGAGAAAUAGGUGUUCAAACUCAUUUUCACCCCCAUUUUCAUUUUCUAAAGUAAAAAACAGAAAUGAAAACACUACCCCGAUCAAAAAAGAAAGAAAUGAAAACACUACCAAAUGUCAUUUUAAAAGGAUCUCACGUACACACCUAGUGCACAUUUGGUACGGGGGAUUGUGUUACCCCUGCUUAAUUUCUUUCACAAUCCUAUACUACAGAAGCACAGCUUGUAUUAUGGAUGCCUUGACCCAUGUUUGGAGCCCUUAGGACUAUAAUUAAAACUCACACCAAGAACAACCUGCAAAACUACCUACAAAAAGCCAAAGAUCCAUCAAGCAAUAUCAUCGUUUGAGGUUGAUGUUCAAACAUUAGACUUUAAAACAAUAUUCCCCAUGUCUGUUCCUCAAUUCUGAAAUUGAUCCAAAAAUCAUGAAAUCAAAACAAAGAAAAGAAUUAAGAAGUGGGUAUUAGACAAAUGCUUUUGAGCUCAUCAUUUAUUUUCAUCAACCCAACACCCACCUCACAACAAAACCAAAUCAAACGCGAACAAAAAACAAUGACUGAAAAUUUGAGAGUUUUUAAUGAAUGAAUGGAUCGAUCUUGUUAUUUAUCAUUUAGAUCAUGAUAGAGCACAAAACGAUCAUGAGCUAGAUAAAUUGGGUUAUGCAAACAGAGAAAAGAGAGAGAUGAUGAAUUGAUCAAUUCUAACCCAAUCCGUUAUUGAACACUUGAACUGAGAAGAACCCACUCAGAAACAUCCAAAAAUUGAACUUGAACAAAAGCAGAAUAUGAGAUCGAAGUUGGUUUUAGGACAAAACCAAAACCAAUCCGAAUUAUUCGGUUUAAGGUUUUUUCCAACCAAAUCCGGAUUUUAAAACUUUUAACCCGAAUAUUCGGCCCAUCCAAAUUUUCGGAUCGGUUCGGGCUUUAGUCCAUAAUUGAAAAACUUUUGGUCCAUCUACUAUCUCACUGUAAAGUUAAACUCUAAGUUUUUGACUUGAGUAACAUAUUUUUUUAUUAACGAAAAAUAUAAACUCAAAGUACAACAAGCAAUCCGAUGCACUCCCAAUCUUUUCUACACUAACAGAUUUUUUCAAGAAAUGAGUUGAAUAAGAAAUUGUCUUAUAUAUGGAGAUUAAGUGUGGGAGAGUACACUGUAAGUAGAGAUGUAAUCAACCAAUAAUAAUAAUUUUUCAGGUAUAUAAAUUAUAUAUAUUUACACAUUAUAUAAUUCGGGUCGAUUCAGUUAUUUUCAGUUUGUUUAAGAGCUUGAACCGGAUCCAAUCAGAUUUAAACCGGUUCAGUUCGGUUCGGUUCGGUUCGGUUAGUUUUUUACACACAUUCGGUUAAAUGCCCAGCCCUAUCGAAAAGAUAGAAUUGAGUGAGGGCGAACGAGAGCGAAGCAUGAUUAAGGCUUCCAGAAUCCCAACAAUUUUGGGGUUUCUAUGUAAGACGAUGCGUCAGGCGUUUUCGGACUGCAUAUGGUCAUUAAAUAUAGUCUGUGUUUCAGCCGAACACGGGACACGCCCUAUUUUGUUAUGCAAGCAGUCCAGUCCCUUCUAAUCUCCCGUACCAAUGCAAACGUGCUACUAAUGCUCUAGAAGGAAGAUGAAGGUUAAACGGUUAAACCAACUCCACAAUCUUACUUCACGUAACUGCCCUGAUUAACUACGUCCUUGAAGGAAUGAUCACUUUUUAACUUUGAUCAUGUACUCAACAAAACCACUUGCUUAAAUUUCCUAUAUUUUAACUUUGAUCACGUACGUAAAAACUGAACUAAGACUGAUCGAUGUGAGGAAGCUAGGUAGUUUAUAAGUAGCAGUUUAAACACUCCGGUUUGUAGUGUUUCAAUCUACUUGUAACACCCUCCACGUACAUUUUUCAUAUUAUAACAAACCAUUGUGUUCAUAAUAAGCACACUAAGUGUCAAGGACCAUGCGUGUCCAAA
rnacentral:lncRNA from 1 species